rnacentral:sRNA from 3 species
GUUUGCACUUGUCGGGGAAGGGUGAGAACCUUCGAUUAAGGUUCGACUCGAGCGAAAGCGAGAGAACGUUGCCAACGGCAACGGCCCGUAGG